UUGACCUCGGAUCAGGUAGGGAUACCCGCUGAACUUAAGCAUAUCAAUAAGCGGAGGAAAAGAAACCAACAGGGAUUGCCUCAGUAACGGCGAGUGAAGCGGCAACAGCUCAAAUUUGAAAUCUGGCUCUUUCAGGGUCCGAGUUGUAAUUUGUAGAAGAUGCUUUGGGUGUGGCUCCGGUCUAAGUUCCUUGGAACAGGACGUCAUAGAGGGUGAGAAUCCCGUAUGUGACUGGUUGCCUUCGCCCGUGUAAAGCUCUUUCGACGAGUCGAGUUGUUUGGGAAUGCAGCUCAAAAUGGGUGGUAAAUUUCAUCUAAAGCUAAAUAUUGGCCAGAGACCGAUAGCGCACAAGUAGAGUGAUCGAAAGAUGAAAAGCACUUUGGAAAGAGAGUUAAACAGUACGUGAAAUUGUUGAAAGGGAAGCGCUUGCAACCAGACUUGCAUGCUGUUGAUCAUCCGAGGUUUUCCCCGGUGCACUCGGCAGUGUUCAGGCCAGCAUCGGUUUGGGUGGUUGGAUAAAGGCCUUGGGAAUGUAGCUUCUUUCGGGGAGUGUUAAGCCCUCGGUGCAAUGCAGCCUACCUGGACCGAGGACCGCGCUUCGGCUAGGAUGCUGGCGUAAUGGUUGUAAGCGACC
rnacentral:rRNA from 1 species